UCGGGAAUUUUGGGCAAUGGGCGAAAGCCUGACCCAGCAACGCCGCGUGAGGGAUGAAGUAUUUCGGUAUGUAAACCUCGAAAGAAUGGGAAGAAUAAAUGACGGUACCAUUUAUAAGCUCCGGCUAACUACGUGCCAGCAGCCGCGGUAAUACGCAGGGAGCAAGCGUUGUUCGGAUUUACUGGGCGUAAAGGGCGCGUAGGCGGCGCGGUAAGUCACUUGUGAAAUCUCUGAGCUUAACUCAGAACGGCCAAGUGAUACUGCUGUGCUAGAGUGCGGAAGAGGCAACCAGAAUUCUUGGUGUAGCUGUGAAAUGCGUAGAUAUCAAGAGGAACACCUGAGGCGAAGGCGGGUUGCUGGGCCGACACUGACGCUGAUGCGCGAAAGCCAGGGGAGCAAACG
rnacentral:rRNA from 1 species